AGAGCGAACGCUGGCGGCAUGCUUAACACAUGCAAGUCGCACGGGCAGGCUUCGGCUUGUCAGUGGCGGACGGGUGAGUAACGCGUAGGUAUCUAUCCAUGGGUGGGGAUAACGCUGGGAACUGGUGCUAAUACCGCAUGACACCUGAGGGUCAAAGGCGCAAGUCGCCUGUGGAGGAGCCUUCGUCCGAUUAGCUAGUUGGUGGGUAAAGGCCUACCAAGGCGACGAUCGGUAGCUGGUCUGAGAGGAUGAUCAGCCACAUUGGGACUGAGACACGGCCCAAACUCCUACGGGAGGCAGCAGUGGGGAAUAUUGGACAAUGGGCGCAAGCCUGAUCCAGCCAUGCCGCGUGAGUGACGAAGGCCUUCGGGUCGUAAAGCUCUGUCGUACGGGAAAAGAAGUGAUGGUACCGUACAAGAAGGACCGGCCAACUUCGUGCCAGCAGCCGCGGU
rnacentral:rRNA from 1 species